GUCGCGUUUGCGGUCAUGUUUACAUUUGCUGCCUCGUGUGCUGUCAAGAGUAACAGGAUAAAAAUCUGUGGCAUCCGGAGCAGCGUGAGAGACGGGAGUAUGCUCCCUGAUCUGGUGAGGUGAAGUACCUUGAUCUCUCGGUCAAGUUUUUUGUCCUGGUGACAUCUUUAAAGGAGGUCCCAGCAACAUCCUUUCGUGUGAGGUUUCCAGAGAUCUGGAGAUUCUUCCCCAGAGUGAGCUGGGUGGUGAGCGACAUUGGAUCUACUGAUACUGAACCCCGAUACUGGUGAAAGAUUUGUGGAUUUUCCCCUUCCCCAUGGACUGUGUGGUAGGACAGAACAAAUACACCCCAAUACACCGACACUGAUCAGACACAACUGACAAAAGGGCCCCAACAAUAACUUUAGGACAGAGGGUUUUGUUUUUUGCCAGCUUUAUUAUUUUAAAUUUUUAUCAAAUGUUUUGUGUAACAUAACUGUUGUAAAUUCUAUGUGUUAAUGCUUCCUAAUAACAAGUGGCCACACAAAAACUCCAACCAGUGUUUCCUGUGUCUUUUGGACAUUUAAAAAUGAAGGGCUCGUACCUUGUAAUCUUUCGUUAUUGGUCCAUUUAUUAGUA